rnacentral:lncRNA from 1 species
GGGGGCCAUGGGGCACUCACACAGUCCAUGUCCAGGGUGUGGCAGCUCUUCUGGCAGCCAGCUCCGGCGUCCCCAGGCGUGGCAUUGCGGCAGUCGGAGUAAACCAUGGGGGGGGCGCAGACUGGGGAUGGAGAGGCCGUUCAGGGGACCCCACCACCACCCACCAGGUCUGCUCUGAGGGACAUGACUGCUGCAUACUCAACGCAUGUGUUUCCUUCCGACCGAGUCCACGGCUGCCCUGGGACAGGCUGCUGAGCAGCACGCCCUUGGCCGCACAGGCCCGCACGUAGGAGGACAGCGCCGCACACAGACAGUCCUCGCUCUUCUCACAGUUGCACGUGUCGAACAGGCAGUUCUGGGGACGGGGCGGCCGGUUACCGUCAGGGACCCCAGCCCACACAUGGC